CCCGGGUCUUGUACACACCGCCCGUCACACCACGAAAGUCCGCUGCAACAGAAGUCCCAGCUUGCUGGGCCAAAGUUGUGGCUGAUGAUUGGGGUG
rnacentral:rRNA from 1 species